rnacentral:rRNA from 1 species
CGGGUGAGUAACGCGUGGGUAACCUGCCCUGUACACACGGAUAACAUACGGAAAGGUAUGCUAAUACGAGAUAAUCUCAUUGUAUUGCAUGGUAGAAGUAUCAAAGCUUCUGCGGUACAGGAUGGACCCGCGUCUGAUUAGCUAGUUGGUAAGGUAACGGCUCACCAAGCCGACGAUCAGUAGCCGACCUGAGAGGGUGAUCGGCCACAUUGGAACUGAGACACGGUCCAAACUCCUACGGGAGGCAGCAGUGGGGAAUAUUGCACAAUGGGCGAAAGCCUGAUGCAGCAACGCCGCGUGAGCGAUGAAGGCCUUCGGGUCGUAAAGCUCUGUCAUCAAGGAAGAUAAUGACGGUACUUGAGGAAGAAGCCCCGGCUAACUACGUGCCAGCAGCCGCGGUAAUACGUAGGGGGCUAGCGUUAUCCGGAAUUACUGGGUGUAAAGGGAGCGCAGGCGGGAAGACAAGUUGGAAGUGAAAUCCAUGGGCUCAACCCAUAAACUGCUUUCAAAACUGUUUUUCUUGAGUACUGCAGAGGUAGGCGGAAUUCCCGGUGUAGCGGUGGAAUGCGUAGAUAUCGGGAGGAACACCAGUGGCGAAGGCGGCCUACUGGGCACCAACUGACGCUGAGGCUCGAAAGUGUGGGUAGCAAACAGGAUUAGAUACCCUGGUAGUCCACACCGUAAACGAUGAUUACUAGGUGUUGGAGGAUUGACCCCUUCAGUGCCGCAGUUAACACAAUAAGUAAUCCACCUGGGGAGUACGACCGCAAGGUUGAAACUCAAAGGAAUUGACGGGGGCCCGCACAAGCAGUGGAGUAUGUGGUUUAAUUCGACGCAACGCGAAGAACCUUACCAAGUCUUGACAUCCUGCGACGAUGCUGGAAACAGUAUUUUCCUUCGGGACGCAGAGACAGGUGGUGCAUGGUUGUCGUCAGCUUGUGUCGUGAGAUGUUGGGUUAAGUCCCGCAACGAGCGCAACCUUUACUGUCAGUUAGUACGCAAGAGGACUCUGGCCAGACUGCCGUUGACAAAACGGAGGAAGGUGGGGAGGACGUCAAAUCAUCAUGCCCUUUAUGACUUGGGCUACACACGUACUACAAUGGCGUUAAACAAAGAGAAGCAAGACCGCGAGGGUGAGCAAAACUCAGAAACAACGUCC